AUGUUUUGUCAUGAUUAUAUGUUGCUUUGCACAAGCACGCGUGCAAAAAAUAAUCAACCCAGCGUUCAGAAUGUCAAGCAAAGUCCCGUAGCCUCGAGCUCAUCGGCAGUACCAGUACCGCUGACUGUAACUUAUAUCUUCAACAUCCAGCUCCUAGAGGGACACCAGCUGUAAGAACUCCUGUCAGCUUCAAGUCUAGAAACUUCAACAAAGGUGGACAUCUGGAGAAGCUGAAAGACAGAUCUGCAACAUAGUGAAACUGUUUUCUGCUUUCGGCAAAUGGACAGUCAGUCAGUCACAGCAGGCAAGGCUCGGCAGUUUUGAAACCCAUGUGAACAGUGUUAAGCUUCAAGGAAAAAGAUUCAAUGAACUGUAUAUCAUAUGAUUCUGUAUAAAUAUAUCCAUGCAACAAAAGUGAUUUCUGGAACUAGAAGUAAUGCUGUUGGAGAGGCAAACAAUAUGAAUAAGACAACAGAAUCUCCGUCUUGUUGAAAAAGUGAUGUUUUUCUCUAUACGAGUGAUUAUGCCAAUG